rnacentral:rRNA from 1 species
UACGAAGGGGGCUAGCGUUGCUCGGAAUUACUGGGCGUAAAGCGUGCGCAGGCGGUUUUGUAAGUCUGUCGUGAAAUCCCCGGGCUCAACCUGGGAAUUGCGAUGGAGACUGCAAGGCUAGAAUCUGGCAGAGGGGGGUAGAAUUCCACGUGUGAGCAGUGAAAUGCGUAGAGAUGUGGAGGAACACCGAUGGCGAAGGCAGCCCCCUGGGUCAAGAUUGACGCUCAUGCACGAAAGCGUGGGGAGCAAACAGG